AUAUUAACAGCAGCAGUACACAAAUAUACCAAAACGACCCUCCGAUAUGUGUUCGUCUUCAUGCAAUAGACGCGUACAACGUACCCAGUACUAUUUUGGUGUCGUCUUCCUUGCUCCAUCGACAAUUUGUACAAAUCUCCAGUGCUAGGUGGAAAGAGAUCAACGAUUCGCUUGUCUUGGCAUCUAGAUUGAACGACUCUCAUUCCCUUAGCCGUUUGAAUUUGUAACCAGAUGAUUAAUUUUUGCUUUAAUUCCAGUUGGUUUUUACUCCUUAUCGAAAAAGAGAAUUUGAAUUUUGAAGGUAAUUCAUCCGAAAUUCCCACAUCGUUUCCCCUCUCUAAUUAGACUCAAAACCUCUCCUAUAAAAAGUCUCCUCAUUCACUGUUCAGAAGAGGCAUUUUUUUGAGACCUGAGAGUACCCAAAAAGGUUUGAGAAUUCUUAGCUCAAUAGUUCAAAAAUUUGUAUCUUUUCGAGUCGAAAAAGGUGGAACUCACUGUCGGGUUCGCUGCCCAGAACCAGAUGAGUCCAAUGGAAUCCCCUCCCUUGCAUAUCCCUCUUCUUGAGUAAACCUCCGUUCAAAUAAAUAAUGGGAAGUCCUGGUAUAUCGGGUUGAGACCCAAAAAAAAAAAACAAGAGUAGCAACUGCCUCAAAAGGCUCAAAUUCAGAGAGCAAAAACUUCGUUUUAAAACCCAUAAAUAAUGGAGAAGCAGCAGCAGUCCCAAUUGAGUAAAUUUGGGAAUUCUUUGGACUUGAAAGGUUAAAUUUAUACGACUACAAGAAGGAGAUUGAUAGGCCAAGGGACUAGUUUCUCGUUAUUUAUUUUGUCAUAUUUUUUCGUGUUUCUUAAUUUGUUUGGAAUGCUAACAUUUUUCUUAUUAAUUUAGUGCGUUUUAUUCAAGUCUUCAAA